GGGGCGGUUUGCAGCUGAGUGUGAAGCGGCUGGGAUGAGAAUCAGUUCCUCCAAAUCUGAGGCCAUGGUUCUCGACCGGAAAAAGGUGGUUUGCUCUCUACAGGUUGGAGGAGAGUUCCUGCCUCAAGUGGAGGAGUUUAAGUAUCUUGGGGUCUUGUUCACGACUGAGGGAAGGAAGGAGCGUGAGUUUGACAGACGGAUUGGUGCGGCGGCUGCAGUAAUGCGGUCGGUGUAUCGGUCCGUCGUGGUGAAGAGGGAGCUGAGCCGAAAGGCAAAGCUCUCAAUUUACCGGUCAAUCUACGUUCCUACCCUCACCUAUGGUCAUGAGCUUUGGGUCAUGACCGAAAGGGCAAGGUCACGGAUACAAGCGGCUGAAAUGAGCUUCCUCCGCAGGGUGGCUGGGCGCUCCCUUAGAGAUAAGGUGAGGAGCUCUGUCACCCGGGAGGAGCUCGGAGUAGAGUCGCUGCUACUCCACAUCGAGAGGAACCAGCUGAGGUGGCUCGGGCAUCUAGUUCGGAUGCCUCCUGGACGCCUCCCUGGGGAGGUGUUCCGGGCAUGUCCCACCGGUAGGAGGCCCCGAGGAAGACCUAGGACUCGCUGGAGAGACUACGUCUCUCGGCUGGCCUGGGAACGUCUUGGGGUCCCACCGGAAGAGCUGGAGGAAGUGUCCGGGGAGAGGGAAGUCUGGAACUCUCUGCUUAGACUGCUGCCGCCGCGACCCGGCCCCGGAUAAGCGGAUGAAAAUGGAUGGAUGGAUGGGCUUAAAAAGAAAAUCGAUUUUCAAUGGGGGUUGACCAAAACGACCUCGGGUAGUAUGUAAGAAUUAAGGGACACUCAGAUUCCUCCAUGUUUUCUAUGCAGAGAAAGGAUCUUUCAUUCCUCCAAGGCAUCCUGGAGCACUGUUUGCCAUGGACUCACAGACUACAACUAAUGCGACCAGGACAGCAUCUUCCUCCUCCAAAUGACAUAACUCGUCGGCGCUGUACUGUGGCUCAUAUAACCAACCCCGAACAUCAGACUUACAGGCGUAUGCG
rnacentral:lncRNA from 1 species